rnacentral:rRNA from 1 species
UGGGAAGUCUUGCACAAUGGAGGCAACUCUGAUGCAGCGACGCCGCGUGAGCGAUGAAGCCCUUCGGGUGUGAAAGCUCUUUCGGCAGGGACGAUAAUGACGGUACCUGAAGAAGAAGCUGCGGCUAACUACGUGCCAGCAGCCGCGGUAAUACGUAGGCAGCGAGCGUUGUUCGGAAUUACUGGGCGUAAAGAGUGUGUAGGCGGUGCUCUAAGUUCGGUGUGAAAUCUCCUGGCUCAACUGGGAGGGUGCGCCGGAAACUGGAGUGCUUGAGCGUGGGAGAGGAAAGCGGAAUUCCUGGUGUAGCGGUGAAAUGCGUAGAUAUCAGGAGGAACACCUGUGGUGUAGACGGCUUUCUGGACCAUAGCUGACGCUGAGACACGAAAGCGUGGGUAGCAAACA